rnacentral:lncRNA from 1 species
UACUGUGUAUAUACCCAAAGGAAUACAAAUCAUUCCAUUACAAAGACACAUGCACACAUAUAUUAAUUGCAGCACUAUUCACAAUAGUAGAGACAUAGAAUCAACCUGAAUACCCAUCAGUGACAGACUGGAUAAAGAAAAUGGGAUACAUAUGCACCAUGGAAUACUAUGCAGCCAUAAAAAGAACAAGAUCAUGUCCUUUGCAGAAAUGUGGAUGGAACUGGAGGCCAUUAUCUCUAGCAAACUAAUGCAGGAACAGGAGCCCAAACACCACAUGCUCUUACUUAUAAGUGGGAGCUGAGCAAUGAGAACACAUGGACACAUGGCAGGGAACAUCACACACUGGGGCCUGUCAGAGGGUGGGAAGUGGAAGGAGGGGGAGAAUCAGGGGGAAUAGCUAGUGGGUGCUGGGAUUAAUACCUGGGUUAUGGGAUGAACUGUGCAGCAAAGCAGCACGUCACACCUUUACCUAUGUAACAAACCUGCACAUACUCCACAUGUAUCCCUAAACAUAAAAGUCGUGGGAAAAAAAAACAUAAAAAUCAAUAAAUGGUGGAAUGCACACCGAAAGGCAGAUGUACCUGAGAGGUGAAGGAAAUGGUGACCCAUGACCGAGUGAAUGAUGUCACAGAUGCUGAAAAAAUGCCAAUUGUGAGCCUGGUGUGGAGCUGCUCUCCCAUAAACCAGCUUGUCUCUCCAGAUGACCCCUGCAGGAGAUUGGAACUCAACACUGCAGUGAGGAAAGCCCAAUGUUGCCCAAAUGCCCCACAGAGAAACCCACCAGGAGCACGUUGGGGCAUUAGGAGUGUGAACCCUGGAGACAGUGAUGUGGCAGGGAUCCAGGUUCUCCCGGCUGCCAGCCACAGGGCUCUCCCCAGUGCAGAGACAAGACUCCCCCUCGCCUGUCCCUCCCCAGAGGCUGUGAUAAGAUGUGGUUUCCUCCUGUGCUCCGAGGCUCCCUCAAACACUGCACAGGCAGAGCAGAUGGACACGGGCAAUUCAAGUGGAAGCAGAGAUUCACCAUGUGUCUACUUCUCAGCAAUCUGGAACAUUCUUCCCCUCGAUUCACCCCCCAAGCCCAUUCUCCAGCCUCUCAGAAAUUCUCUAAGCCUGUAAUAUCUGUCCCACAAACUUCCUUCUGCUUAAGUUACCCUGGAUCAACUUCUGUUGCUUCCAAUGUCAGUUGGAGAUGGAGCACUGUAAAAAAGUUUGUCACUUUAAAAUAAUGCACUCCAG